UUUAGGCUGUGGGGCAGCUAAAUGAGGAAUUGAAUUCAAUUAUUCUCCUCUUGUAUUUUUACUGAAACUUGGGGAGAAGAAGCUGCAUCUACCCAACAGCAGUUCCUUGCAGGGCACAUCUCAAGAGUGUAAGGAGCAAGCCUAACUUCCCAGAAUUCAAUUAAGGCUUCUGCUCACCUUACAUCUGUUAACAGUUCAUUGGCUAAAGCAAGUCUCAUGGCCAAAUCUAAACUCAAAAAGACCAGGAAGUCAAUUCCACAUGACGGCCUCACUGACUCCCUGUGGAGCUGCCGGGUUCUGGGACCUUACCACAAGUGGAUUUUGGCCUGCUGUGAAGGAGACACGUGGUGAGUGGCAGCAGAUGCUGAAGACUUGGAACUCUCAGAACAAGUGCUCUAAAUUAGGAACAAAGCAUUCCAUGGGCUACGUCAAAACUUUAAAAAUAAGCAUUUGCUCCAUACACAGCUAAUGACCUUGCUGAAGACAUUCAAAAUGCCUCAUUUAAGAUGUUUAAGUAAUUACUCAGGAGCAGUGACCAUGAGGUUUUUCCAUCCCAUCUGUGCCCUGCCUCUGAGGCCUGUCUUUCCCCUGGUUGUCUUGGGUCCCUGUUCCCAUGCAAAGGGCUCUGCAUGGAGCACAAUCCUUGGGCCAGUUCUGCAGUUGUGACAAGUGCAGUUGUACUACUUCACAGACACGUGAACAGAUGGCAACUUAAUGUAAAAAGUCUGUAAGUAAAGGGUGCCUUUGAGUGA